rnacentral:pre_miRNA from 1 species
UUUGAAAUACUACCUCUUGUCCUUAUUAUGCGCAACAAAGGGGUUUAUUUUUGUGAAGGAGAAUAUAUUCCUUUGUUGCACAUAAUAAGGACGGUAGUAUUGUAUU